UACGUACUGUGCGAACGUUAUUCGGAAUCACUGGGCUUAAAGGGUGCGUAGGCGGCCAAUUAAGUAGGGUGUGAAAGGCUUCGGCUCAACCGGAGCAUUGCGCUCUAAACUGGCUGGCUUGAGUGAGAUAGGGGUGUGCGGAACUUCCAGUGGAGCGGUGAAAUGUGUUGAUAUUGGAAGGAACGCCGGUGGCGAAAGCGGCACACUGGGUCUUAACUGACGCUGAGGCACGAAAGCCAGGGGAGCGAACGGG
rnacentral:rRNA from 1 species